AUUGAACGCUGGCGGCAGGCUUAACACAUGCAAGUCGAGCGAGUGGCGGACGGGUGAGUAAUGUCUGGGAAACUGCCUGAUGGUGGGGGAUAACGCCUGGAAACGGUAGCUAAUACCGCAUACCAUCGGAUGUGCCCAGCUGGGAUUAACUAGUAGGUGGGGUAAAGGCUCACCUAGGCGACGAUCCCUAGCUGGUCUGAGCGGAGGACCAGCCACACUGGAACUGAGACACGGUCCAUACUCCUACGGGAGGCAGCAGUGGGGAAUAUUGCACAAUGGGCGCAAGCCUGAUGCAGCCAUGCCGCGUGUAUGAAGAAGGCCUUCGGGUUGUAAAGUACUUUCAGCGAGGAGGCGUUACUCGCAGAAGAAGCACCGGCUAACUCCGUGCCAGCCGCCGCGGUAAUUC
rnacentral:rRNA from 1 species